GCGGGUAUAGCUCAAUUGGCUAGAGCAUCUGCCUUCCAAGCAGAGGGUUGUGGGUUCGAGCCCCAUUACCCGCUCCA
rnacentral:tRNA from 3 species